GAGGAAUAUUGGGCAAUGCCCGCAAGGGUGACCCAGCAACGCCGCGUGGAGGAUGAAUGUCGUAAGAUUGUAAACUCCUGUUAGAGGGGAAGAAUAGUACCGGUUGGACCGGUAUAUGACUGUACCCUCAGAGAAAGCCCCGGCUAACUCCGUGCCAGCAGCCGCGGUAAUACGUAGGGGGCAAGCGUUGUCCGGAUUUACUGGGUGGAAAGGGCGCGCAGGCGGGAUAAAAAGUCAGUGGUGAAAUCCUACAGCUUAACUGUAGAACUGCCUUUGAUACUUUUAUUCUUGAGUUCGGGAGAGAGAGGCGGAAUUCCAGGUGUAGUGGUGAAAUACGUAGAUAUCUGGAAGAACACCAGUUGCGAAGGCGGUCUCUUGGUCCGACACUGACGCUG
rnacentral:rRNA from 1 species